rnacentral:lncRNA from 1 species
GCAUUUGAGCUAAAGCAAGGGAAGCAUUUCCCCUUCCCCUGGCUGAAAGCUCAGCUGACCCCGAGGCUCUUCUGGUCAUGCUUAGAGUGGGCCCUACAUCCAAUGACUGGUGUUCUCAUAAGGAGAGAGAGACAAAGAGUAGACAGACACAAGGGAGAAGGCCGUGUGAAGAUGGAGACAGAGAUUGGAAUGAUACAGCCACAAGCCAAGAAACAUCUGCGGCCGUCAGAAGUUGGAAGAGGCAAGGAAUGAUUUAUUCUUUCCCACUCAUUGUUUCACCAAUGAGCACCUUCCAUGUGCCACCGUUCUGACCCUGCUGACAAUGUGGUUUCAGACUUCUGGCCCCCAGAACUGUGAAAGAGUAAAUUUCUGUUAAGUUAUCUUGCUUGUGGUACUUUGUUACAGCAGCCCUGUGGAUCUAAUAUAGUCAUAAGAGACAUUGUGACCUCCUCCCUGCUCUCUUGAACCACUCAUUCUGGGAGAAGUCAGCUGCCAUGUCAUGAAGCUACUCAGGGAGGUCCAUGGAGAGGUCCACAUGGCAAGGAACUGAGGCCUCCUGCCAGUAGCCAGCACCAUCUUGCUGGCCAUGUGAGCGUGCCAUCUUAGAUGCAGAUCAUACGGCCCCAGUCAAGCCUUCAAAUGACUGCAUCCCUACUUGACAUUUUGACUGUAACCUCAUGACAAACCCUAAGCCAGAACACCAGCUAAGCCACUCCCCAAUUCCUCAUCAAGAGAAACUGAGAUAAUAAAUGUUUAUUAUUGUUUUAAGCUACUAAAUUUUGAGGUAAUCUGUUAUGUAGCAAUAGAUAACUAAUACUGAUAUCUGUCAUAUUGGGGCCUCAGUGUAACUUGGAACAGAAAGAGUUCCAUAUUAUAAUUCUUAAACAUUACUUGGAAUGGUUAGGGGCCCCAGUGCUAUUCUCUCUGGGGAUAUUUCCAGCAAUGGGCCCCACAGCCAUUUAUAGUGAGUUGUCCCACUUACUCUUUCACCAGUGAGCACUUUCCAUGUGUCAGAUGCCAUAUUAGAGACUGGGGCUAUAGAAAUGAACAGUCUUUUGGGAGGCCGAGGCAGGUGGAUCACCUGAGGUCAAGAAUUUGAGACCAGUCUGACCAACAUGGAGAAACCCCGUCUCUACUAAAAAAAAAAAAAAUACAAAAUUAGCUGGGUGUGGUGGUGCAUGCCUGUAAUCCCAGCUACUUGGGAGGCUGAGGCAGGAGAAUCACUUGAACCUGAGAGGCGGAGGUUGUGGUAAGCCAAGAUUACACCAUUGCACUCCAGCCUGGGCAACAAGAGUGAAAUUCCAUCUCAAAAAAAGAAAAAAAAGAAAUGAACAGCCCUGUUCUUAAUCACUUAACCAGUGGUCAUUAUGGUCUCUGCUAGUAGAGCACUAUGGGCAAGAAGGACAGCACUGCUUUGCAGGGAAGGGAAAAGAGAGACAUCACUGAGGCACUGAAGAGGAGAAGCAUUCAGUGGUAUGACCUUGAAGAGACAAGAAGAGGACCAAGUUCAAGAGUCUGCAAGAACAGUGGGAGGUAGAGCUGGAACUAGAAUCCAGACACCCCACUUCUAGUCUUGAAUUUGCGCUUCCUGAACUACACAGAGGCUGGCUCAUGGUACCAGGGUCUCUAAAGAUACCUGGAGGCAUGAACUUGAAUCCUGCUGGGAUACUACUCUUUGAAUAAUAAUUUCUCUAUGGAAAGGCAGGGUACAAAGUCUUGGAAUCUUGUUUCUGCUCUGCCAUCUUAGCUAAAUAACUCCCUUUGGAGAUCCUUUGAACCCUGAUAGAUCAGCAAGCCCCCUCUGAAACAUCAUAAGCCUCAGGGCAAGAAGGCUGGCCUUCUCCUCCAUCUGAAUCCCAGCCCUUCUUUUUUUGAGAUGGAGUUUUGCUCUUGUUGCCCAGGCUGGAGUGCAAUGGCGCGAUCUCGGCUCACCACAACCUCUGCCUCCUGGGUUCUAGCGAUUCUCCUGCCUCAGCCUCCUGAGUAGCUGGGAUUACAGGCAUGCAAAACCAUGCCCUGCUAAUUUUGUAUUUUAAGUAGAGACAGGGUUUCUCCAUGUUGGAAAGGCUGGUCUUGAACUCUCGACUUCAGGUGAUCCGCCCGCCUCUAGCCCUUCUUAGUAGUGGUGUUUUCUAAACAGGUUAGAUAAGAAUUUGACACCUGCUGAAAUCUCCAGGCUGGCUCCUCCCAAGGUCAAAUUGCACAUCUUGCCAACGAGAACAGCCUUCACUUCUUGAGCAUCUACUCAGCAGCAAGUGAUUUCUCUAAUCUUCACAACACCCUCUCAAGGCAAGGGAUCAUGGGCCACACUUGGCAAUCUAGGAAAGUGAAGUUCAAGAACAAGCCCCAGGACACACAGCUAGUGACAGCGAGGCACAGAGCUGGGAUUCCAACCCAGGCCUGUCUAACCCUAAAGCUCCUCCUAUCCACCUCCUCCUUGCUGCCACAGAAGGUGACUCAGAGGUACUCAGUCUGGAGAAUUCAAGCCAGUAUCCCAGGAAGUGGAAUUUUCUCCAGUGUUCUAGGAAGGAGGGAUUACCAUGGCAUGGGGUGGGCCAGGUAGACACAAGAGGCAGUGAAGGUGCAUAAAGUGGUGAUUAAAGGGAAUGGAGUCUACUGUGGUUUGGAUAUGGUUGCGUCAACCUAAACUCAUGUUGAAAUUUGACCCUCGGUGUGGUGGUGGUGGGAGGUGGGGCCUAGUGGGAGGUGUCUGGGUCAUGGGGGCAGAUCUCUCAUGAAGGGCUUAGUGCCAUCCUCACAGUGGAGAGUGAGUUUUCACCCUGGCAAGACUGGAUUCUUGUAGGAAUGGAUUUGUUCCCAAGACAGUGGGUUGUUAUAAAGCCAGGAUGCCCCUUGGGUUUUCCCUUCUUUGCAAGUGUUCACUCUCCCUUUGACCUUCUGUAUGUCGCAGCCCUCACCAGAGGCUGAGCAGAUGCUGAGGCCAUGCUUCUUGAUUCUCCCAGCCAACAGAUCUGAUGUCACUAUCAAUCACGCUUCGACUGAGUACAGCCAAACCAGGAUACUCAGGGACUUGGAAUCUGUUACCAGACUUUUAUUUAGUACAGACACAGCGCCAGGGGGCUGAGCAUUCUUCAGCAACACCCUUUGGACCCCUUUCUACACCAUCAUGCUGUAUGAACAGAAGGGUUGGGGACAUGAAGGAGCAGCUCAGCUAAGGUGACCCAGAUGGUUGGGCUCAGAGCUGGAAGAACACCGUGGUCUUCUGACUCCCAAUUCCUGCAUCUGUCCUGCUUGUAAGAGGCUUGCCAAGAACAGGAGCUUUUGUUUGUAGGUCUCUAGGGAUGGCCACCACAGGGAGUGUGAUUUGAAGAUGGGGUCGGCGUGACAUUACAGGCCCCCUUUAGGCUCUGCUGGGUUGCAGGCCAGCUCUCUGGGCUGCCUUUCUGAUGGCUGCUAUUUUAAAGGCAGAUAGGAUGAAGUUAGCAACAACUUAUAUCAUUAAACUAGCAAGGGCUCAGGAGGGGCAGCCCCCUUCUGGGAAUGUGCCUAGCUCCUGCUCCAGAAUGGAGGAGUUUCUGUGGCUCUAGGAGAGCUGGCCUUCUAUGGAGUCUGAGCAAUGUACCGCACGGGGAGGAGAAGACGCUUCCAGAAGAUACCAGUGUUUCUAUCCAGAGACGUUUCCAGGACACCACGUUAAGCAGCAGAGACACUAGAAGCCAAGGCACCUAUGGUCUGGUGUGGAUGUGUGCCUCCUGUGCCUCAGUGGCAUCAUCCGUACCAUGGGAGGUGUGUAAUGAGGGGUGAGAUCACGUCUGUGAGGGCACGUACAUAGUAGAUGCCCAGGAAGUGCCAGUCCCCAUCUCCUUCCCAGUUUCUUCAAAGCCUUCUGGAAGGCACUGGCAUAGCCCAGUCCUGAGGCACUGCUUUUUCUUUCAUGGAUGAUCAGGAGCUUCUGUGAUUUCUUCCCCCUCACUCUUCAUUUUGCCAAGAUGUUGCCCAUAGUAACCUCAGCAGUGGAGCGAGGAUUCUGCACUGUUCCACUGCCCUGGGGCUGCACACCCACGUGAGCGGGGCCGACCCGUCCCAGAGCGCUUUGCCCUCAGAAGGCAGCAUCACCUGCAGGAGCAAUGCCAUGGACAGCUCUGGCUUGUCCUCCAGGGCCCUGGCAUGGUCAGUGAGAAAAUGCCCCUGGGGCAUGGGCUUCUCCUGUCAGUCAAGUUCAGAAGGCUUCCUGGGGUAGGUAGAGACGCUCCCUACCCAGCUGAGUUAUUGAAAUGAUAGGAGGGAGAAGGGAAGGUCUGGGCAUGUGGCACUGUGAUUUUUUUUUCUUUCUUCUUUUUUUUUUUUUUUUUUUUUGGAGACUCGGGGUAGAAAUGAGGACAGGAAGAAGUACAAUCCGUCUGGGAUUGGUUUAUUUUUAUUGCUUUUUAAAAUCAUGUGACUAAUUGGUGUUCAUUGAAAAAGAGAAAACAAAAAUAAGCCAAGAGAAGACAGCAAAAAUAAUCUGUUAACAUCUUGGCAAAUAUCCUUUUUCUCUGCAUAGAAACGGAGAAUACUUUUGUUUCACUUAUAAAAUGUUUCUUAAUGUACACAGCUUUAUAACCUGCUUUUUGCUUAAUGGGACAAUAUACUAGGACAUGUUUUCAGGCCAACAGAUAAAUAUACUUCACUUGCAU